UUCCGGUUGAUCCUGCCGGAGGAUACUGCUAUCGGAGUCCGAUUUAGCCAUGCUAGUCCACCGAUUCGUUCGGGGCAUAUAGCUGAGUAACACGUGGCUAACCUACCCUGUGGACAGGAAUAACCUCGCUAACGUGAGGCUAAUACCUGAUAGCAGAGAAGUACUGGAAACGUCUUCUCUGUGAAAUGUUCCGACGCCAUAGGAUGGGGCCGCGGCUGAUUAGGUCGUUGGUGAGGUAAUGGCUCACCAAGCCAAUAAUCAGUAGUAGCCGUGAGAGCGGUAGCUACCAGUCGGCUUCUGAGACAAGAAGCCGGACCCUACGGGGUGCAGCAGGCACGAAACCUUCACAAUGCACUAACGUGCGAUGGGGGGACUCCGAGUGCGUCUUUCCCAACAAGGAAGGACGCUUUUCUGCACUGUAAGGAGGUGCAGGAACAAGGGGUGGGCAAGACGGCUGCCAGCCGCCGCGGUAAUAGCCGCACCCCAAGUGGUAUCCAGUAUUAUUGGGCUUAAAGUGUUCGUAGCCGGCUGUGUAAGUCUGCUGUGAAAUCCACGCGCUCAACGUGUGGACAUGCAGCAGAUACUGCAUAGCUAGGGGCCGGACGGCGUUGAGGCUAUUCCAGGGGUAGGAGUGAAAUCCUAAAAUCCCUGGAGGAGCGCCAGUGGCGAAAGCGCUCAACGAGAACGGACCCGACGGUGAGGAACGAAAGCUAGAGGAGCAAAGCGGAUUAGAUACCCGCGUAGUCCUAGCUGUAAACAUUGCCUGUUAGAUGUCGGACAACCUUCGAGGUUGUCCGGUGCCGAAGUGAAAACGCUAAACAGGCCGCCUGGGUAGUACGGUCGCAAGGCUGAAACUUAAAGGAAUUGACGGGGGAGCACCACAACCGGUGGAGGCUGCGGUUUAAUUAGAUCCAACGCAGAGCACUCUACCAGAGCCGACAGCAGAAUGACGGUCAGCUUGAAGAGCUUACCUGACGCGCUGAGAGGAGCUGCAUGGCCGCCGUCAGCUCGUGCCGUGAGGUGUCCGGUUAAGUCUGGUAACGAGCGAGACCCGCAUCACAUGUUGCCAUGGAACCACUCUGUGGUUU
rnacentral:rRNA from 1 species